AUCCGGUUAGGUGCUACAAGUGUGGUGUUGAAGGACAUCGUUCUCCUGAAUGUCCCAAUUCAGAAGCAACAUGAUUUAAGUGUGGCAAGCUGGGCCACAAAUCCUUUGAGUGCCUAGAAGGUAAAACUGUGGCAUGCUACAGAUGUGGAGAGUAAGGUCACAUCAGUACUAAUUGUGACAAACCCAAGAAGGAUCCUGCAAGGGGGAAGGUGUUUGCUUUAUCUGGUGCUGAGACUACUGCUGAGGAUAGACUAAUUCGAAGUACGUGCUUUAUUAAUGGUACAUCUUUGAUUGCCAUUAUUAUUAUGGGUGUGAUGCAUUCUUUAUUUCAUUGGAGCUUGAGAGUCAGAUGAGGGAGUCCUACCCGAAUUGUUCGUUUAAGGAAAUUUUCGAGGGCGAAAAUUCUUAAGUGGGGGAGAGUUGUAACACCCCGUUUUUAAUUAAAAUAAUGUUGGUAUUUUAUUUUAAUUAAGAUUAUAUUGUAUGGUGGUUUAAUAGGUGAUAUAAUAAUACUUUAAUGAAAUAAAAUAUUUUUUUUGUGAUGCUGGGUGUGUUUUAUGAAAUGGAAGAGAGCUAGGGGUGAAAGUUAGGAUUAAAAAUAGAGACAAGGACUAGGAGAGAUUUUAGGAUUUUUAGUUUAGCCCUUGAGGAAUUAGGUUUAGAUGGUUUAAUAAGGAUGGGGAAGCAGCUAAAGAAAAAAAAAAAUAAGAAAGAAGAUGACGCGUGAAAGAAGGAGAAAAAAAAAAGAAGAAGGCUGUGCGUGAAGUAGCAGGAAGAGAGGGAGAGCGGAUCGGCUUCGGAGAAUUCGAUCGGGAACGGGGAGUUGCACUCAAUCCAAAGGUAAUCAGGAGGAGUAGUCUAUAGCCUUUAUUUCGAGUUGGAGUCCUUGCUCUGAUACGUAGCACUCGGGGGGGAAAUGGACGCUUGUUUUCCUUCUGUUAUAAUUUGAAUUAAGUUGUUAUUUGAGAAGUUGUUUCUGUUUUAAGUUGUGGGCAAGAUACUAUGUUUUCUUUAAGUUUUAAAGACAUUGGAUUCGCUGCAUAACUAUUUGUCAAAGUGAACUAGUUCAAAGACUAAUUAACUGUCACAAGAGCAUUUAAGUUUA